rnacentral:rRNA from 1 species
AAAAACUCCGGUGGUAUACGAUGGAUCCGCGUCUGAUUAGCUUGUUGGCGGGGUAAAGGCCCACCAAGGCGACGAUCAGUAGCCGGCCUGAGAGGGUGAACGGCCACAUUGGGACUGAGACACGGCCCAAACUCCUACGGGAGGCAGCAGUGGGGAAUAUUGCACAAUGGGGGAAACCCUGAUGCAGCGACGCCGCGUGAGUGAAGAAGUAUUUCGGUAUGUAAAGCUCUAUCAGCAGGGAAGAAAAUGACGGUACCUGACUAAGAAGCCCCGGCUAACUACGUGCCAGCAGCCGCGGUAAUACGUAGGGGGCAAGCGUUAUCCGGAUUUACUGGGUGUAAAGGGAGCGUAGACGGCAGCGCAAGUCUGGAGUGAAAUCCCAUGGCUUAACCAUGGAACUGCUUUGGAAACUGUGCAGCUAGAGUGCAGGAGAGGUAAGCGGAAUUCCUAGUGUAGCGGUGAAAUGCGUAGAUAUUAGGAGGAACACCAGUGGCGAAGGCGGCUUACUGGACUGUAACUGACGUUGAGGCUCGAAAGCGUGGGGAGCAAACAGGAUUAGAUACCCUGGUAGUCCACGCUGUAAACGAUGAUUACUAGGUGU